AUAGCGUAUAUUAAAGUUGUUGCAGUUAAAAAGCUCGUAGUUGAACUUCAGGCCCGGCGGGGUGGUCUGCCUCACGGUAUGUACUAUCCUGCUGGGCCUUACCUCUUGGUGAGCCCGUAUGCCGUUUACUCGGUGUGCGGAGGAACCAGGAAUUUUACUUUGAAAAAAUUAGAGUGUUCAAAGCAGGCAUAUGCCCGAAUACAUUAGCAUGGAAUAAUAGAAUAGGACGUGUGGUUCUAUUUUGUUGGUUUCUAGGAUCGCCGUAAUGAUUAAUAGGGAUAGUUGGGGGCAUUAGUAUUCAAUUGUCAGAGGUGAAAUUCUUGGAUUUAUUGAGGACUAACUACUG
rnacentral:rRNA from 1 species